rnacentral:rRNA from 1 species
GAUGAACGCUGGCGGCGUGCCUAAUACAUGCAAGUCGAGCGAACAGAUGAGGAGCUUGCUCCUCUGACGUUAGCGGCGGACGGGUGAGUAACACGUGGAUAACCUACCUAUAAGACUGGGAUAACUUCGGGAAACCGGAGCUAAUACCGGAUAAUAUAUUGAACCGCAUGGUUCAAUAGUGAAAGACGGUUUUGCUGUCACUUAUAGAUGGAUCCGCGCCGCAUUAGCUAGUUGGUAAGGUAACGGCUUACCAAGGCAACGAUGCGUAGCCGACCUGAGAGGGUGAUCGGCCACACUGGAACUGAGACACGGUCCAGACUCCUACGGGAGGCAGCAGUAGGGAAUCUUCCGCAAUGGGCGAAAGCCUUACGGAGCAACGCCGCGUGAGUGAUGAAGGUCUUCGGAUCGUAAAACUCUGUUAUUGGGGAAGAACAAAUGUGUAAGUAACUAUGCACGUCUUGACGGUACCUAAUCAGAAAGCCACGGCUAACUACGUG